rnacentral:rRNA from 1 species
GUUGACCUCGGAUCAGGUAGGGAUACCCGCUGAACUUAAGCAUAUCAAUAAGCGGAGGAAAAGAAACCAACCGGGAUUGCCUCAGUAACGGCGAGUGAAGCGGCAAGAGCUCAAAUUUGAAAGCUGGCUCCUUCGGGGUCCGCAUUGUAAUUUGCAGAGGAUGCUUCGGGUGCAGCCCCCGUCUAAGUGCCCUGGAACGGGCCGUCAUAGAGGGUGAGAAUCCCGUAUGGGGCGGGGUGUCUGCGUCCGUGUGAAGCUCCUUCGACGAGUCGAGUUGUUUGGGAAUGCAGCUCUAAAUGGGUGGUAAAUUUCAUCUAAAGCUAAAUACUGGCCGGAGACCGAUAGCGCACAAGUAGAGUGAUCGAAAGAUGAAAAGCACUUUGAAAAGAGAGUUAAACAGCACGUGAAAUUGUUGAAAGGGAAGCGCUUGCAACCAGACUCGCUCGCGGGGUUCAGCCGGGNCUUCGGCCCGGUGUACUUCCCCGCGGGCGGGCCAGCGUCGGUUUGGGCGGCCGGUCAAAGGCCUCCGGAAUGUAGCGCCCUUCGGGGCGCCUUAUAGCCGGGGGUGCAAUGCGGCCAGCCUGGACCGAGGAACGCGCU